GAGGGCAUAGCUCAGUGGUAGAGCACAUGCCUUGCAUGUAAGGGGUCCUGGGUUCAAUCCCCGGUACCUCCA
rnacentral:tRNA from 1 species